GAAUUUUUGAUUAACUAACUGAACGACUUGGAAG
rfam:Stegodyphus mimosarum contig11794, whole genome shotgun sequence.